UGGGUUUCCGCUGCCGCCUGACUGUCACCGCCGGGGCUGGGUAUGAAGGGACCAAACUUGUCAACUUCAUCUUUACUAACCAUGCAUAAAUUGCACUAUUCCUGUUUUCAUCAGGAUUACAAUGCAAAACGUGGGUGUAUUCCUGAAGCAUAGCAUAGUCUGGUAAAGUAUUAAACGAAAUACCUAAUCUCUGAAGUUUUAUUAAUUCGUGUAUGCACUAAUAUACUCACUACAAGCGCACGAAAGAAACCAAAUAAAUAAAUAAAUAAAUAUAAGCAAUGAAA
rnacentral:lncRNA from 1 species